rnacentral:rRNA from 1 species
CCAAGUUUUUAAGGGCGCACGGUGGAUGCCUUGGCACCAGGAACCGAUGAAGGACGUGGGAGGCCGCGAUAGGCCCCGGGGAGCUGUCAACCGAGCUUUGAUCCGGGGGUGUCCGAAUGGGGAAACCCGGCAGUCGUCAUGGGCUGUCACCCGUACCUGAACUCAUAGGGUAUGUGGAGGGAACGCGGGGAAGUGAAACAUCUCAGUACCCGCAGGAAGAGAAAACAACCGUGAUUCCGGGAGUAGUGGUGAGCGAAACCGGAUGAGGCCAAACCAGUCACGUGUGAUACCCGGCAGGGGUUGCGUGGUUGGGGUUGUGGGAGUUCUCUUGAUCGGUCUGCCGGCCGGUCGGUGAGUCAGAAACCGUUGAUGUAGGCGAAGGACAUGCGAAAGGUCCGGCGUAGAGGGUAAGACCCCCGUAGCUGAAACAUUAGCGGCUCGCUUGAGAACCACCCAAGUAGCACGGGGCCCGUGAAAUCCCGUGUGAAUCUGGCGGGACCACCCGUUAAGCCUAAAUAUUCCCUGGUGACCGAUAGCGGAUAGUACCGUGAGGGAAUGGUGAAAAGUACCGCGGGAGCGGAGUGAAAUAGUACCUGAAACCGUGUGCCUACAAGCCGUGGGAGCGUCGCAUACGUGCUUGCACGUAUGUCGUGACUGCGUGCCUUUUGAAGAAUGAGCCUGCGAGUUUGCGGUAUGUUGCGAGGUUAACCCGUGUGGGGAAGCCGUAGCGAAAGCGAGUCCGAAGAGGGCGACCCAGUAGCGUGCCCAAGACCCGAAGCGGAGUGAUCUAGCCAUGGGCAGGUUGAAGCGGAGGUAAGACUUCGUGGAGGACCGAACCCACCAGGGUUGAAAACCUGGGGGAUGACCUGUGGUUAGGGGUGAAAGGCCAAUCAAACUCCGUGAUAGCUGGUUCUCCCCGAAAUGCAUUUAGGUGCAGCGUCGUGUGUUUCUUGCCGGAGGUAGAGCACUGGAUAGGCGAUGGGCCCUACCGGGUUACUGACCUUAGCCAAACUCCGAAUGCCGGUAAGUGAGAGCGCGGCAGUGAGACUGUGGGGGAUAAGCUCCAUGGUCGAGAGGGAAACAGCCCAGAGCAUCGACUAAGGCCCCUAAGCGUGUGCUAAGUGGGAAAGGAUGUGGAGUCGCAGAGACAACCAGGAGGUUGGCUUAGAAGCAGCCAUCCUUGAAAGAGUGCGUAAUAGCUCACUGGUCAAGUGAUUCCGCGCCGACAAUGUAGCGGGGCUCAAGCACACCGCCGAAGUCAUGUCAAUCCAGCAUGUGGACCAACGUCCGUUGGGUUGGGUAGGGGAGCGUCGUGUGCCGGGUGAAGCAGCGCCGGAAGGUAGUUGUGGACGGUUCACGAGUGAGAAUGCAGGCAUGAGUAGCGAUACACACGUGGGAAACGUGUGCGCCGAUUGACUAAGGGUUCCUGGGUCAAGCUGAUCUGCCCAGGGUAAGUCGGGACCUAAGGCGAGGCCGACAGGCGUAGUCGAUGGACAACCGGUUGAUAUUCCGGUACCCGCUUUGAAGCGCCAAACAUCGAAUCCAUUAAUGCUAAGGCCGUGAAGCCGCCCUGGAGUCUUCGGACAAAGGGGAGUGGUGGAGCCGCUGAUCCAAGGUGGUAGUAGGUGAGUGAUGGGGUGACGCAGGAAGGUAGUCCAGCCCGGGCGGUGGUUGUCCCGGGGUAAGGGUGUAGCCCGUGCGGUAGGCAAAUCCGUCGCACAUGUAAGGGUGAGACCUGAUGCCGAGCCGAUUGUGGUGAAGUGGAUGAUCCUAUGCUGUCGAGAAAAGCCUCUAGCGAGUUUCAUGGCGGCCCGUACCCUAAGGUUAAGGAACUCGGCAAAAUGCCCCCGUAACUUCGGGAGAAGGGGGGCCACGGCUGGUGAUGGGACUUGCUCCCUGAGCUGGUGGUGGCCGCAGAGACCAGCGAGAAGCGACUGUUUACUAAAAACACAGGUCCGUGCGAAGCCGUAAGGCGAUGUAUACGGACUGACGCCUGCCCGGUGCUGGAACGUUAAGGGGACCGGUUAGCUCCAUUUCGGUGGGGCGAAGCUGAGAACUUAAGCGCCAGUAAACGGCGGUGGUAACUAUAACCAUCCUAAGGUAGCGAAAUUCCUUGUCGGGUAAGUUCCGACCUGCACGAAUGGCGUAACGACUUCUCGACUGUCUCAACCAUAGGCCCGGUGAAAUUGCACUACGAGUAAAGAUGCUCGUUUCGCGCAGCAGGACGGAAAGACCCCGGGACCUUUACUAUAGCUUGAUAUUGGUGUUUGGUUCGGCUUGUGUAGGAUAGGUGGGAGACUGUGAAGCCGUGACGCCAGUCAUGGUGGAGUCGUUGUUGAAAUACCACUCUGGUCGUGCUGGAUGUCUAACCUGGGUCCGUGAUCCGGAUCAGGGACAGUGUCUGGUGGGUAGUUUAACUGGGGCGGUUGCCUCCUAAAGGGUAACGGAGGCGCCCAAAGGUUCCCUCAGCCUGGUUGGCAAUCAGGUGUUGAGUGUAAGUGCACAAGGGAGCUUGACUGUGAGACUGACGGGUCGAGCAGGUACGAAAGUAGGGACUAGUGAUCCGGCGGUGGCUUGUGGAAGCGCCGUCGCUCAACGGAUAAAAGGUACCCCGGGGAUAACAGGCUGAUCUUCCCCAAGAGUCCAUAUCGACGGGAUGGUUUGGCACCUCGAUGUCGGCUCGUCGCAUCCUGGGGCUGGAGUCGGUCCCAAGGGUUGGGCUGUUCGCCCAUUAAAGCGGUACGCGAGCUGGGUUUAGAACGUCGUGAGACAGUUCGGUCCCUAUCCGCUGUGCGCGUAGGAGUCUUGAGAAGGGCUGUCCCUAGUACGAGAGGACCGGGACGGACGAACCUCUGGUGUGCCAGUUGUUCUGCCAAGGGCAUGGCUGGUUGGCUACGUUCGGAAAGGAUAACCGCUGAAAGCAUCUAAGCGGGAAGCCUGCUUCGAGAUGAGGGCUCCCUCCCACUUGAUGGGGUAAGGCUCCCAGUAGACGACUGGGUUGAUAGGCCAGAUAUGGAAG